ensembl:lncRNA
GUUAGACAGUAAAGAGACAGGUCAUUAAGGAGCAGGUAGGGGUUAGACAGUACAGAGACAGUUCAUUAAGGAGCAGGUAGGGGUUAGACAGUACAGAGACAGGUCAUUAAGGAGCAGGUAGGGGUUAGACAGUACAGAGACAGGUCAUUAAGGAGAGGGUAGGGGUUAGACAGUACAGAGACAGGUCGUUAAGGAGCAGGUAGGGGUUAGACAGUACAGAGACAGGUCAUUAAGGAGCAGGUAGGGGUUAGACAGUACAGAGACAGGUCAUUAAGGAGCAGGUAGGGGUUAGACAGUACAGAGACAGGUCAUUAAGGAGCAGGAAGGGGUUAGACAGUACAGAGACAGGUCAUUAAGGAGCAGGUAGGGG